GUCGGCCACAAUCUUCCUCGCUCGCCUCAGGGUCCUCGAGGUGUGCAGGUCCUUGAGGGUAGGCAUAUUGCAGCCGAUCACCUUCUCAGCAGUGCAGAUGAUACGCUGCUGCCACUGCCAAGGACAAGAGCAGACUGCAGCGUAUCAUCCGAUGGAUGAUCUGAUCAUAACAGAUCAGUGAUGGAAGAGGUGAGGAUGGACUCAAUGAUGGCUGUGUAGAAUGCACCAUAGUUGUCUUUGGCAAGUUUAAUUUCUUCCGCUGCCGCAUGAAGUAAAUCCUCUGUUGUGCUUUCUUGGUGAGGGAGCUGAUGUUCAGUUCCCACUUGAGGUCCUGGGAGAGGAUAGUGCCCAGGAAGCGGAAGGACUCCACAGGGUUUACUGGGGCUGUAUUCUUAGUAGUCCACAAACAUCUCCACUGUCUUAAGAGCAUUAGCUCUUGGUUGUUCUGGCUACACAAGGUCACCAGGUUAUUUUAACUACUGAUAGUGGUAGGUUAUCUUGCUAACACAUAUCCAAAAAUGCACAGUGUCCAAAACACUAAGAACAUUAUUCUAGUUUUCUAAUACUUUACCAUUGUGUUGGCCGGUAGGAUUUGUAACGCAAAUAGGCCUAAUGUCAGUUUUCUGGUCAUUUCCACAAAAUUAUGCAUAAAGUAACUCUGCGAUUGGGGCCACUAUAAAAUGCAUUCUGAGUAAAACCUUUCACUUUGGCACCAACCUUUUAGUCCAGCAUAUGAUCUGGACAAGUCAUGGGAUAAAGCCCCAGUUUAUAAAAAAGUAACUUAUUUGUUGCACAAAUUUACCCUGUAACCAACACAGAAAUGUAUGAUAUGACUUGUGCUUGGUUUGGAAAGAUGUACAUUUUUUCGAACAUAUAGGGGUACAAAUGCAAUAAGAAAGAUGUCAGUGUGUGACCCAUGGUGUGACCAAAUUUAUGUUGGGGGAUGGGAUGACUACUGCCUCAGGGCUGUCAAGGAAUUUCCUAGGAGAUUAGAAACAGUAAGUCUAUUGUUAUUAAUGCUAGUAAACAGAAAACUCUGUGAAAUCAACAAUGAACUGUCCAAUAUAAUAAUUGGACAGUAAAUUGGACAGUAAAAAUAUUUAUCUCGGAGACAACAUUGAAUGUUGAUUUUUGAAUGAGGAAGGUUCACACAUGCGCAGUGGUUGUAGCAGUAGCACUUUGCUUCUCCCAACUGUCACUGCCGCACAUGGCGCGAAAACCGGAGAAGAAUGGAGGUUUCAGCUGCUCCAGAAGUUAUAGGAUUCAGGAAUUAUACUGACUGAAGAAGAGACAAAGAGAUUCAGAGAUUUACAUUUUCUCACACUCUACAUUGUCACCUGGAGUCAGCUCUGUAACCGUGGCCCCAAGUUUUUGUGAUUUACAUUUUCUCACACUACAUUGUCACCUGGAGUCAGCUCUGUAACCGUGGGCCCAAGUUUUUGUGGAAAUGGCUGAGACCGAUUUCCUCAGUGCCAUGGAGAGAACGACAGUGGGGAUCUAUGUUGUGAAAGACACUGCCAGCAGUGAACCCUCUGAUGUCAGGAUAGUCCUCGAAGGUGUGAUGGUGCUUCAAGAUCUUGAGAAUGUAGCACUUGCUUCUGCAAUGUUGUUUGGGCUCUUAUGCCUUGAACAUGCAGCACCCUACAAAGCUCCGCUACACCUUUGAGGCAUUUCAAAAGAUCAUCAUGGAGCCUCAGCAUCAGACACUUAAUAAUAUGAGCCUGUCAGCUGCAAAAACAGAACUUUUAGUGACACUAACUGACCAUGCACAGUUGCCCUAUAUAACGUUGCAGCCCGGUUCACAGCAAUCUUGCUCAAUGCUGGACCAAUUUUCAUGAAUUAACCACUAGAUAGCCUAAAUUUAUAUUGAUUGGCUGUAAAUGUAGCUGUUUUUUAAGUAUGCUUGUUUUUCCACUGUCCAAUUAACAUUUUUAUAUCUAUAAUUUCUUUAAAUUGACUGAUUAAUACUGUAAAUGUGCUGACAUUCCUUUUUGAUUAAAAGUACAUAUUCAGUA